AACAACGCGUUGAACAAGAGCGAUUAGUAGGAACUCGUCCAGAGAGAAGAAGGUUUGCUGCAACUUCUUCCGAGGCACUACUAAGCGGUAGCUUGUGAGCUGUCAUCUUGAAUCUUAGUAGGGAUGACCGGACAAACCGUCCGUUAACAAGUCAUGAGUUGGAGGCCUUAGUGUCUCAAUUUAGGUGGUACCGCGAAAAGCAUUCGUCCUAUUG
rnacentral:ncRNA from 2 species